GAACGUAUGGCUUAGUGGUCAGAGCGUUUGUACGGCUUCUAAUAGCCGCGAGUUCAAGUCCCGCUACGCUAA
rnacentral:tRNA from 1 species